GCGGGUAGAGCUCAGCGGUAGAGCAUGUGUUUAGCAAGCACAAGGUCCUGGGUUCAAUCCCCAGUCCCUCCA
rnacentral:tRNA from 1 species